ACAACUUAUGAGUACGAGGGCUCCAAUACUCAUAAUAGUAUAGUAGCCAUGGCAUAUAUAUAUGUAUGGAUGAUACUAAGAGGACCAUUAAGAUUCAUUAUCUAUAGAUAAGGAUUCCACCUCAAAAUAAGAAAAGAUUGAUCUAAGACGUGGAAGGUUCGGCAGUAGGAGCUCCGGCAUGCACGUCCUAAGUACUUAACAUACAAAUAAUGAGUAUCUCCAUUAAUCUUUUAUUUUUAUCUUAGUCUUAAAUGAUUUAGACUUAAUUCAAGUCCAUCAUUUCAACUAUUAUGCUCUAUUCUCAGAUUAGAACAAAAGUUUCAAUUUCAGUAGUUCAUAACUCUCUAAAAAUAGAUAAAAAUCUUAAAAUAACUCCCUAUAUAAGGGUUAGGGAUACUUAAUUUUAACAAACGACAUCUUAACGAGAUGUUUAUACCCUCUUGAAGCUAACCGGAAUAGUUCAAAACGAAAAUAGCAUAAAUUGAUCGAAAUAUUAACAAACUAAGUUUAAAUUUGAUCAAACAAUUUGCUCUAUCAUACAUUCAUGGCCAAUAUAUUUGAACAUGAUUGACAUCUUAAUUUAAGGAUUCUAAACUCUUAAAAUCAACUACAAAAGUUUAAUCUCGUAGUUGAUUAAAAUCCUAAUUUUGGAGCCUUAUAGCAUGCAAUUAACUCAUCAAAACCUCUUUAAAAUAAAGGCAAUUCAUAUAACUAUGUAUUGGCCCCUAUUUCAAGUAGCAAGAACGAAAGUUAAUAAUCAAAAUCUCAUUUUGAGCUCUUAGUGUGCGUUUGGUUCGGGGAUAAAAGGGGGGUUAGGGGGUUAACCCCCUGCACAUGCAUCCUCCAAAUUUCAGUUUGUACAGGAAGGUCCUUCAAAGAGCAGCAAGGAAAAAUAAAAGAGGGAGUGGGGCAGGCACGAGAUUAUGUGUAGUCUUUGCAUUACUAAUCCAGGUCACCAGUUAUUGCAUAAACAAUUCAAAAGAAUGGUGCAAUGGCCUCUUAAAAGAGAUCGUCGAGAAGUGAGCAACUUUUUCUCUCAAGCAGCCGUUCAGUAUCAUUCUUAUUAGCAUUGCAUGCAAUUUCUACUUAAACUCAAGUGGUAUUAUUUACAAAUUCUUUUUAGGUUGCAGAUUGUACUAAUUGUUUCUUGUCAUUUUGUAACAAAGUUUGUAUUCUAAAUUUGUAUUUUCCGAAGUACAUGAAUUUGUUUAUUUGUUGGUUUGCAUCUGAGAGAACAUGUGUCUAACAGCCAUUUGGUAUGGCAUUUUUGCACUUGGCACUUGAAUUAUGUUCCACUAUUUAAAUUUUCAUUUGAGGUAUAAGACCACCAUCUAUCGGUUGCUUUAUUUCGUUCUCAGAUUUACCAUACUGAAGGAACUAGCAAAUGUUCUUUGUUUGUAGUGACUAUUAUUUGGAAAAUCUUCCAUUUCUUGGCAACGUAGUAUUGUAUUAAUUAUUGUACUUACUUUUCUCCUCAGGUAAAACGAGAUUCGUCGCUAUUUUUCCUUCUUACUAAUUCAUCACAGGUGCAAGCUAUUAAUUUUGCCCUGAAAUUGUAAUGCAACUGACCAAUUUUAGAAAACGGCCUCCGGUGCUGAUGUAGGAUUGAUGAGCUACGACAACAUCCAGUCGUGUUGUUGCUUUACACCUGUUUAGUUAUUGUUUUACAAACUUGCAAUCGAUUUUCCCGAUUUGGGAGGAAUAGGAUGUAAAGCUUGUGUAAAAUGUAGCUUUCCUUCUGAUGCUAAGAAUCAACUAAUGUAUUGACUGGCUAUUAUUAUUAUAGAAGAGAACUGCAGUUGUUUUAUAAA